CAAAACACCAAUUCCCAUAUCACUGAAGUUAAGCAACAUUGUACCUCAUCAGUAUCUAGAUGGGUGACCACUUGGGAAUACCAGGUGCUGUAA